GACGAACGCUGGCGGCGUGCUUAACACAUGCAAGUCGAACGGAAAGGCCCUGCUUUUGUGGGGUGCUCGAGUGGCGAACGGGUGAGUAACACGUGAGUAACCUGCCCUUGACUUUGGGAUAACAUCAGGAAACUGGGGCUAAUACCGGAUAGGAGCUCCUGCUGCAUGGUGGGGGUUGGAAAGUUUCGGCGGUUGGGGAUGGACUCGCGGCUUAUCAGCUUGUUGGUGGGGUAGUGGCUUACCAAGGCUUUGACGGGUAGCCGGCCUGAGAGGGUGACCGGCCACAUUGGGACUGAGAUACGGCCCAGACUCCUACGGGAGGCAGCAGUGGGGAAUAUUGCACAAUGGGCGGAAGCCUGAUGCAGCAACGCCGCGUGCGGGAUGACGGCCUUCGGGUGGUAAACCGCUUUCGCCUGUGACGAAGCGUGAGUGACGGUAAUGGGUAAAGAAGCACCGGCUAACUACGUG
rnacentral:rRNA from 1 species